rnacentral:rRNA from 1 species
ACUGCGUACCUUUUGUAUAAUGGGUCAGCGACUUAUAUUCUGUAGCAAGGUUAACCGAAUAGGGGAGCCGAAGGGAAACCGAGUCUUAACUGGGCGUUAAGUUGCAGGGUAUAGACCCGAAACCCGGUGAUCUAGCCAUGGGCAGGUUGAAGGUUGGGUAACACUAACUGGAGGACCGAACCGACUAAUGUUGAAAAAUUAGCGGAUGACUUGUGGCUGGGGGUGAAAGGCCAAUCAAACCGGGAGAUAGCUGGUUCUCCCCGAAAGCUAUUUAGGUAGCGCCUCGUGAAUUCAUCUCCGGGGGUAGAGCACUGUUUCGGCAAGGGGGUCAUCCCGACUUACCAACCCGAUGCAAACUGCGAAUACCGGAGAAUGUUAUCACGGGAGACACACGGCGGGUGCUAACGUCCGUCGUGAAGAGGGAAACAACCCAGACCGCCAGCUAAGGUCCCAAAGUCAUGGUUAAGUGGGAAACGAUGUGGGAAGGCCCAGACAGCCAGGAUGUUGGCUUAGAAGCAGCCAUCAUUUAAAGAAAGCGUAAUAGCUCACUGGUCGAGUCGGCCUGCGCGGAAGAUGUAACGGGGCUAAACCAUGCACCGAAGCUGCGGCAGCGACGCUUAUGCGUUGUUGGGUAGGGGAGCGUUCUGUAAGCCUGUGAAGGUGUACUGUGAGGUAUGCUGGAGGUAUCAGAAGUGCGAAUGCUGACAUAAGUAACGAUAAAGCGGGUGAAAAGCCCGCUCGCCGGAAGACCAAGGGUUCCUGUCCAACGUUAAUCGGGGCAGGGUGAGUCGACCCCUAAGGCGAGGCCGAAAGGCGUAGUCGAUGGGAAACAGGUUAAUAUUCCUGUACUUGGUGUUACUGCGAAGGGGGGACGGAGAAGGCUAUGUUGGCCGGGCGACGGUUGUCCCGGUUUAAGCGUGUAGGCUGGUUUUCCAGGCAAAUCCGGAAAAUCAAGGCUGAGGCGUGAUGACGAGGCACUACGGUGCUGAAGCAACAAAUGCCCUGCUUCCAGGAAAAGCCUCUAAGCAUCAGGUAACAUCAAAUCGUACCCCAAACCGACACAGGUGGUCAGGUAGAGAAUACCAAGGCGCUUGAGAGAACUCGGGUGAAGGAACUAGGCAAAAUGGUGCCGUAAC